rnacentral:misc_RNA from 1 species
UUGAAUAAAUUUGGUUGGGUUGCUGCUGGCUUUUCGGAGCAUGUGCACGCCUAGCGCCAUUUUUAACCACCUGUGCACUUUUUGUAGAUUUGAAACACCUCUCGAGGAAACUCGGUUUGAGGAACUGCUAUGCGAAAGCUAAGCUCUCCUUGCGUUUCAAGUCUAUGUUUUUAUAUACCCCACAAGAAUGUUUUAGAAUGUCAUUAAUGGGCUUUAUUGCCUCUAAAUUAAUA